UACGGGGGGGGCAAGCGUUGUUCGGAAUUACUGGGCGUAAAGGGCUCGUAGGUGGCCAACUAAGUCAGACGUGAAAUCCCUCGGCUUAACCGGGGAACUGCGUCUGAUACUGGAUGGCUUGAGUUCGGCAGGGGAGACUGGAAUUCCUGGUGUAGCGGUGAAAUGCGUAGAGAUCGGGAGGAACACCAGAGGCGAAGGCGGCGACCUGGACAGGUACUGACACUCAACUACGAAAGCGUGGGGAGCAAACAGG
rnacentral:rRNA from 1 species